GGAGUCGUGGCUCAAUGGUAGAGCACUUGCCUGGCAUGCAUGAGGCCCUAGGUUUGAUCCUCAGCACCA
rnacentral:tRNA from 1 species